rnacentral:lncRNA from 1 species
GCAGGCAAGAAUACUGGAGUGGGUUAGCAUGCCCUCCUCUGGGGGAUCUUCCCAACCCAGGGAUUGAACUUGCAUAUGACCACUAGCGCCACCUGGGAAGCCCUCAUAAGGAGAUCAUUAAGGUUAAAUGAGGACAUAAAAGAACCCUGAAAUGAUCUGCCUGGCAUCCUUAUAAGAAAAGAAAGGGACUCCUCUGAGUUCGCUCUCUGCCAAAUGAGGACACAGGAGAAGGUGGCGAUCUACACGCCAGGGGAGGGCUCUCACCAGGAACCUUGAUCUUGGACUUUUCACAGAACCAUGGGAAGUAAAUGCCUGUUGUGUAAGCCCCUGCACCUGUGGUACUGUGUUACAGCAGCUGGAGCAGACCAAGACACCACUGUUCUCUUGCAGGUCAUCAUGAAGGGCUGGGUGCCAGGGAUCUGAAUGGCUGAAGUUCCCCAGGUGACUCCAGCGCAGGGCAGUAUCAUUUCCAAGGAAGUUGGAAUGGACAAGAUCCGUGAGCAAGGGGAAGAGAUUGGCGGUACCUGUAACUCAGAACAGCACAUGGAAACUUAUCCUCCAUAAAAUCUUAGAACUUUCUAGAAAGGACUUUAGAAACCACCUGGUCCAGUUACUUCAUGUUACAGGUAAGUCCAUGAGCAAGUC